AUGUGCGGGGAUCGCUGUACGGUUAUAGACUCGGUGAGCCGAACGGCCUGUUUUUUUGUGUUGUAUCUCUAAACUAAACUAAUUCACUGACCCUCUUUGUGCCCUUGCCCCUGUCUCUGGCUCCGAGUUCACCGACGGAUACGGAGGACUCCCAGUAACCUUCCACCUCAACCUCCUUCUAUGCUGUCUUGGGCAAGCAAAGAUCACCAGUCGUCGAUAUCUUGGCUAUCGUGGACCUUCUGUGGACCAAUCUGCGCACUGACAGUUGCCGCCUUGCCCGAAGAGAUCCAGAGCAUCUGCAAUGUACCCUCACUCAUUCCAACAAAACCUCUGCUGGGUUUGAUCCAGAGUAUGAAGCACUGCCCUACCCAUCCGAGGUGGAUGCCGUGUUGAAAAUAACCUCAAGUAUUCAGCAAGGAGUGGAUGGAUCCUGCUUCGUAUUGCUCCCUCCAGCAAGAUGGCGGUGGUACGCUUCAUCCUCCAGAUCACCACUACAGCAGUCGGCAGUACCGUCGGGCAGAUCAUUAUGAUGAUGGUAGCUCGAAUCACCAAGACAAUGGUCCAGGCAUCCAAUUUGUGCAUUGACAUAAUUGAAACUACCUUAUUGGGAUAAAGGCACAGGAUGGAUUUAGAUGAAGGACAUAUUUGAGCCACUGAAUUCCAUCAUCACCAAAAAAGCAUACCACCAUUUCUACUUCCUCAGAAGACAAAGGAUAUUUGACAUUAAUCUAAAGACUCUUGCCAACCUCUACAGUUGAACUGUUUUGAAAACAUACUGCCGGGUUGUAUCAAGAGCUUGGCUUGGUUUUGGAACUGCUUUGCCCAAGACCAUGAGAAAUUGUAAAGUUGUGGAUCACUCCAGCACCCAGACCAGACUUCUCACCAUUGACUACAUCUACACUUCACUCCCUUGGGAAAGCAGCCAACAUAAUCAAGGACCUUUUCCACCCUUGUCAUUUCCACUUUCCCCUGCUUCCCACCACAAAGAGGAUACAAAAGCUUGAAAUUGUGUACUUUCAGACUCGAGAACAGCUUCUUCCCCUGUUAUUUGACUUCUGAACGGUCCUUCCAGAAGCUAGGAUACAUUUCCUAAUUUUCAACCAACAUCAUUGUGAACAUUGGACUUUUCCUCAAAUGGUUAUACUACAAUGUUGAGAAACUGUACGCUGCACUAUGCAUGUUUCUGCCCUCUCUACCUAUUGUGCUUGUGUAUGGCUUGAUUAUAUUUAUGUACAGUAUUACCUGAUUUAAUUGCGUAGCAUGCAAACAAAAGCUAUUCACUUUAUCUCGGUGUUCACAACAAUAAAGCAAUUUAAACUUGUUUUGUGUGCCACAGUAAAUGACUUCACAAUGCCAUAUUAUAUUCCUUCUGUUAUGUUCUGGCCCACACACUCGGCUUGUCUCUAUCCCUUUAAUAGACAAUAGGUGCAGGAGUAGGCCAUUCGGCCCUUCGAGCCAGCACCGCCAUUCAAUGUGAUCAUGCUGAUCAUCCCCAAUCAGUACCCCGUUCCUGCCUUCUCCUCAUAUCCCCUGACUCCGCUAUUUUUAAGAGCCCUAUCUAGCUCUCUCUUGAAAGCAUUCAGAGAACCUGCCUCCACCGCCCUCUGAGGCAGAGAAUUCCACAGACUGAGAAAAAGUGUUUCCUCAUCUCCGUUCUAAAUGGCUUACUCCUUAUUCUUAAACUGUGGCCCCUGGUUCUGGACUCCCCCAAAAAACUAUUUACAUCCUUCUCACUGCUCAAGCAUUUUCCAAGUUUUAUAUCAUCAGCAAAACUGGAAAUGUGCUAUUUGGCUGCCUCAUCCAACCAGCUGAAGAAGACUGAAUGAUCAGGGUUUCUGUGUUACCCCACCUAUUUAAUCCCAAUCCUUGGUUGCUGCCUGUCAGCCAAUUCUCAACAGCCAGCGGUAUACUACGCUAAUCACAUACAUUCUGAAGUUCUAAAUGUACCACUACCAUUGUCCAUUUAACUAACCAUAUC